rnacentral:tRNA from 1 species
ACCUAAAUAGUUUAAAAGAAAACGUUAGCUUGUGGCGCUUAAAAUGUAAUAUAUUACUUUAGGUA